GGGAAGCUUGAUCUUUGAGGGGAAUGUUGUCUGGCUCGAGGCCUUCGUUUCUCUUACAGAUCUGUUUGAAGAGAUCUCGGACCAGGCUUCAUUCCCCCCAAUCGUAGCUUCCA
rnacentral:pre_miRNA from 15 species